rnacentral:sRNA from 1 species
CUACGAACAGAAAUCGGAUACAAGGCCGGUACGGACAGGUGAGUGAGCCCAUCCUCACGAAACCCGCCCCAAAUAACUAACACCGCGUUCAUCCGCAUUGGUAAAUCCGGAG